rnacentral:rRNA from 1 species
ACACAAAAAAAAACCUCCUUGUCAAAGUCUCAACUCGUCAGAUCUCAGAAUUUAAGCAAGGCUGGACCUGGUUAGUGCUUGGACGGGAGCCUGCUGUAGUCAAGUGUA